UUUAAGCAAAAAUCACGCAUUUUCUCUUCGAGAAUCCACCAUUUAACCCGAAAAUCACGCGUUUUCUCUUCGCAAAUCCCCCAUUUAACCCGAAAAUCACGCGUUUUCCAUUCGGGAAUCCCCCAUUUAACCCGAAAAUCACGCGUUUUCUCUUCGAGAAUCCCCCAUUUAACCAAAAAUCAUGCGUUUUCUCUUCGCAAAUCCCCCAUUUAACCGAAAAUCACGCGUUUUCUCUUCGCAAAUCCCCCAUUUAACCCGAAAAUCACGCGUUUUCUCUUCGCAAAUCCCCCAUUUAACCGAAAAUCACGCGUUUUCUCUUCGCAAAUCCCCCAUUUAAGCCGAAAAUCACGCGUUUUCUCUUCGCAAAUCCCCCAUUUAACCGAAAAUCACGUGUUUUAUCUUUGAGAAUCCCCCAUUUAACCCGAAAAUCACGCAUUUUCUCUUUGAGAAUCCCCCAUUUAACCCGAAAAUCAUGCGUUUUCUCUUCGCAAAUCCGCCAUUUAACCCGAAAAUCACGUGUUUUCUCUUCGCAAAUCCCCCAUUUAACCGAAAAUCACGUGUUUUCACGUCGCAAAUCUUCCAUUCUGCCCGAAAAUCACGCAUUUUCUCUUCACAAAUCCGCCAUUUAACCCGAAAAUCACGUGUUUUCACUACGCAAAUCUUUCAUUUUACCCGGAAAUCACGCAUUUUCUCUUCAGAAAUCCCCGAUUUUACCUGAAAAUCACGCAUAUCCUCUUCGCAAAUCCCCCAUUAAAGCAAAAAUCACACAUAUCCUCUUUGCAAAUACCCCUUUUAACCCGAAAAUCACGUGUUUUCUCUUCGAGAAUCCCCCAUUUCACCCAAAAAUCACGCGUUUUGUCUUCGAGAAUCCCCCAUUUAACCCGAAAAUCACGCGUUUUCUCUUCCCAAAUCCCCCAUUUAACCAAAAAUCACGUGUUUCUCUUCACAAAUCCCCCAUUUAAACCGAAAACCACGCGUUUUUCUUUGAGAAUCCCCCAUUUAACCCGAAAAUGACGCGUUUUCUCUUCCAGAAUCCCCCUUUUAACUCGAAAAUCACGCAUUUAAUCUUCGCAAAUACCACUUUUAAGCGAAAAUCACGCGUUUUCUCUUUGAGAAUCCCCCAUUUAACCCGAAAAUCAUGCGUUUUCUCUUCGCAAAUCCGCCAUUUAACCCGAAAAUCACGUGUUUUCUCUUCGCAAAUCCCCCAUUUAACCGAAAAUCACGUGUUUUUCACGUCGCAAAUCUUCCAUUCUGCCCGAAAAUCACGCAUUUUCUCUUCACAAAUCCGCCAUUUAACCCGAAAAUCACGUGUUUUCACUACGCAAAUCUUUCAUUUUACCCGGAAAUCACGCAUUUUCUCUUCAGAAAUCCCCGAUUUUACCUGAAAAUCACGCAUAUCCUCUUCGCAAAUCCCCCAUUAAAGCAAAAAUCACACAUAUCCUCUUUGCAAAUACCCCUUUUAACCCGAAAAUCACGUGUUUUCUCUUCGAGAAUCCCCCAUUUCACCCAAAAAUCACGCGUUUUGUCUUCGAGAAUCCCCCAUUUAACCCGAAAAUCACGCGUUUUCUCUUCCCAAAUCCCCCAUUUAACCAAAAAUCACGUGUUUCUCUUCACAAAUCCCCCAUUUAAACCGAAAACCACGCGUUUUUCUUUGAGAAUCCCCCAUUUAACCCGAAAAUGACGCGUUUUCUCUUCCAGAAUCCCCCUUUUAACUCGAAAAUCACGCAUUUAAUCUUCGCAAAUACCACUUUUAAGCGAAAAUCAAGCGUUUUCUCUUCGAAAAUCCCCCAUUUAACCCGAAAAUCACACGUUUUCUCGUCGAGAAUCCCCCAUUUGAGCGAAAAUCACGCGUUUUCUCUUCAGAAAUUGCCCAUUUAACCCGAAAAUCACGCGUUUUGUCUUCAGAAAUCCCCCAUUUAAUUGAAAAUCACGAGUUUUCUCUUCGAGAAUCCCCCAUUUAAACCGAAAAUCACGCAUAUCCUCUUCGCAAAUCCACCAUUUAAGCGAAAAUCACGCAUUUUCUCUUCGCAAAUCCCCCAUUUAACCCGAAAAUCACGCGUUUUCUCUGCGAGAAUCCCCCAUUUAACCCAAAAAUCAUGCCUUUUCUCUUCGCAAAUCCGCCAUUUAACCCGAAAAUCACGUGUUUUCUCUUCGCAAAUCCGCCAUUUAACCCGAAAAUCACGUGUUUUCUCUUCGCAAAUCCCCAAUUUAACCGAAAAUCACGUGUUUUCACGUCGCAAAUCUUCCAUUUUACCCGAAAAUCACGCAUUUUCUCUUUGCAAAUCCCCCAUUUAACCCGAAAAUCACGUGUUUUCACUUUGCAAAUCUUUCAUUUUACCCGGAAAUCACGCAUUUUCUCUUCGCAAAUCCCCCUUUUAUCUCGAAAAUCAAGCGUUUUCUCUUUGAAAAUCCCCCAUUUAACUGAAAAUCACGCGUUUUCUCUUCGGAAAUCCCCCAUUUAACCCGAAAAUCACGCGUUUUGUCUUCGAGAAUCCCCCAUUUAACCCGAAAAUGACGCGUUAUCUCUUCCCAAAUCCCCUUUUUAACUCGAAAAUGACACAUAUCCUCUUCGGAAAUCGCCCAUUUGAGCGAAAAUCACGCGUUUUCUCUUCGCAAAUCCCCCAUUUAACCCGAAAAUCACACGUUUCCCAUUCGGGAAUCCCCCAUUUAACCUGAAAAUCACGCCUUUUCUCUUCGAGAAUCGUCCAUUUAACCCAAAAAUCACGUGUUUUCUCUUCCCAAAUCCCACAUUUAAGUGAAAAUCACGUGUUUUCUCUUCGAGAAUCCCCCAUUUAACUUGAAAAUCACGCGUCUUCUCUUCGUGAAUCCCCCAUUUAACCCGAAAAUCACACGUUU
rnacentral:lncRNA from 1 species